rnacentral:rRNA from 1 species
UACGGAGGAUGCAAGCGUUAUCCGGAUUUAUUGGGUUUAAAGGGUGCGUAGGCGGAAGGUCAAGCAGGGGGUGAAAUGCCGGUGCUCAACACCGGAGCUGCCUUCUGAACUGGCCAUCUGGAGUGGCAGUGCCGUUGGAGGAAUGAGUGGUGUAGCGGUGAAAUGCUUAGAUAUCACUCAGAACACCGAUUGCGAAGGCAUCUGACGAACUGCCCACUGACGCUGAGGCACGAAAGCGUGGGGAU